AUCUAUCUGAAGAGUACAAAAUAGGACAAAACGCGCGUUCUGGAU
rnacentral:hammerhead_ribozyme from 1 species